rfam:Clostridium sp. C105KSO13 isolate C105KSO131 genome assembly, contig: {contig162}
GAACGCCGUGUGAGGGGAAACUUUCAUGCACGGUGUGGAGCGGGGGAAAAGCCCGAGACGCAAGUCAGAGGCUUACCUAUCGCUAU